UGCUGGUCUUAGAUGGUCAUACAACUACUCCCCCUGCUGUGCAAGUCCAUAGCAAUCGUUUCCUGCUGCCUGUUGUUGGUCAGUCUAAGUCACUCAGUUUCGAUGUUCCUCUUCCUCACAAACUCAGACUCCUACAGGAUUCAGCUUCAGAUUUCUCUAUGAAUGGAGAGUCUUUGAGUGAAGAAGAUGGAUUCCAUAAAAUUGCUAUUCAUUAAAAAACUAACCAUCAUUUAAUAAUGAGCACAAAGUCUAUCAGUUACCAUAAUGGCCAGGACAAAGUUGAGAUUUUGUGGGGCCAGGAACUGACCCAAACACAAUACUGAUGGGUAAAUAUAGAAGUGUAG